rnacentral:rRNA from 1 species
UGGGGAAUAUUGCACAAUGGGGGAAACCCGUGAUGCAGCGACGCCGCGUGGAGGAAGAAGGCCCUCGGGUUGUAAACUCCUGUCUUUGGGGACGAUAAUGACGGUACCCAAGGAGGAAGCCACGGCUAACUACGUGCC